ACCCGACCCUCGACCGACCCGGGAACUUUGAAAUUGCUAAGGACUUUUUCUUGGCCCUUUUGGAGCUAAAAGGUAAAGCAUGGAGCAUAUCAAAGUUCAGCGGGAUUGCGUGAAGUAGAAGGUGGCAAAGGAGAAAAAGGGAACGAAGGCCACCGGUAUGUAGAAUCAUUUUAAUAUGAUUGAAAGAUAUGCGGGUAUAAAAUAGAGAUACACGUACAUAUCUCCGGGGGAGUCCUAUAUAAAAACGACAGGGGUACUCGUUGGAAAUUUUGACAAGAACCCCCGAGAGAUACCAAGAUCCUGUUUUCAUCGUGUUUCACUGUUUUUUACCCUUUAGAGGUACCGGUGUAAAUGAGACAAAAUUAAAACUCAGUUGAUUGUCAAAUAUCUCCUGUCAUGUGACGGUACCACGAAAGCUCCCACUCUGGAUCUUUUGAGGGCGAACACCCUAAGAGGCACCAAACUGGCUUUUUAUUUAACCCCUGAAAGGUACGACAAGCACCCCCCCCCCGUCCUUUUUGUAUGGGAGUCCAUUUAAUAUAGAGGAGAAAAGAAGUAUUGUUCCUCUCUUUUAGUUUCAUCGACCUCUUAUCGCAAUUUGCAUUGCAUUUAAUGCUUUUAUUCUCAUUUUCACUUUGAUCUCGUAUUCCCUUCGCUGCUGUCUGAUCGGCUUGUCUUUAAUCCAAUCCCUUGAAAC